rnacentral:rRNA from 1 species
UUAAUAGCAUAUUCAUUUGACGUUAGCUGCAGAAGAAAGCACCGGCUAACUCCGUGCCAGCAGCCGCGGUAAUACGGAGGGUGCGAGCGUUAAUCGGAAUUACUGGGCGUAAAGCGCAUGCAGGUGGUUUGUUAAGUCAGAUGUGAAAGACCCGGGGCUCAAACCUCGGAAUUGCAUUUGAAACUGGCAAACUAGAGUACUGUAGAGGGGGGUAGGAAUUUCAGGUGUAGCGGUGAAAUGCGUAGAGAUCUGAAGGAAUACCGGUGGCGAAGGCGGCCCCCUGGACAGAUACUGACACUCAGAUGCGAAAGCGUGGGGAGCAAACAGGAUUAGAUACCCUGGUAG